rnacentral:rRNA from 1 species
CCUCCGGGAGGCAGCAGUGGGGAAUAUUGGACAAUGGGCGAAAGCCUGAUCCAGCCAUGCCGCGUGUGUGAAGAAGGCCUUCGGGUUGUAAAGCACUUUCAGUGGGGAAGAAAGCCUUGGGGCUAAUACCCUCGAGGAAGGACAUCACCCACAGAAGAAGCACCGGCUAACUCCGUGCCAGCAGCCGCGGUAAUACGGAGGGUGCGAGCGUUAAUCGGAAUUACUGGGCGUAAAGCGCGCGUAGGCGGUCUGAUAAGCCGGUUGUGAAAGCCCCGGGCUCAACCUGGGAACGGCAUCCGGAACUGUCAGGCUAGAGUGCAGGAGAGGAAGGUAGAAUUCCCGGUGUAGCGGUGAAAUGCGUAGAGAUCGGGAGGAAUACCAGUGGCGAAGGCGGCCUUCUGGACUGACACUGACGCUGAGGUGCGAAAGCGUGGGUAGCAAACAGGAUUAGAUACCCUUGUAGUC